UGAAUUGGUUUCUUUUAAUUUUAACUAACUUACUUGAGUCAAAUGAAUGGUUAGCAAGUUGAAACAAAUCACAAUACAAACAACACAAAGUAUAGUGGCUCGGUGCUCUCCUUAGCACCUACGUCCACUCCCCAAGCGACCCCUUGGGAUUCACUAUAAUCUCGCAGAUUACAGUUGGAUUGUUUUCCGGGCUCACAAUCCAAAAAUCUUUACACCUUGGUUUUCCGGGCUCACCAAAAACGUAUACACUUUGGUUUUUCGGGCUCACCAAAAACCUUUAUUGGUUUUACGGGCUCA
rnacentral:lncRNA from 1 species